UGUAAUUGGAAUGAUGGGAAUUUAAACCUCUUCCAGAGUAUCAAUUGGAGGGCAAGUCUGGUGCCAGCAGCCGCGGUAAUUCCAGCUCCAAUAGCGUAUAUUAAAAUUGUUGCAGUUAAAAAGCUCGUAGUUGAAUUUCUGCUGUAUUGCAUUUUCUCUUUUUAUAUGAGUUUUUGCAUUAUGGCUUAUUUCAGUAUUAAUUUUUUAUUAUUACUGAAUGUUUACUUUGAGAAAAUUAGAGUGCUCAAAGCAGGCUUUUGCCUUGAAUAGUUUAGCAUGGAAUAAUAAAGUAGGACUUUGGUUCUAUUUUGUUGGUUUUAGGUACCAAAGUAAUGGUUAAUAGGAACAGUUGGGGGCAUUCGUAUUUAACUGUCAGAGGUGAA
rnacentral:rRNA from 1 species